GGCACGGGUGAGAGCUCCUGGGGUAGCUUUUCAACAGGGUCCUGCCAUUGGUGCUCCCUGAACUAAUUGGAAAAUGAGUAUUCUCUGUGUUCAGACUAGAUAUUGUGGGUUAGGAGACAACAAAGCCGAAACUCCACCCAGAUGCGUCCCCUUUCACUAGGUUAGGUCCGACCGAGUGGGGAGAGGGGGACUCAAGCGGGUUGGAGAUUUCAGGAGAAGGAGGUGGGAUGACGUAAGGUCACGUGAUCUACCGGCGGCGUUGUCAACAAUCCACCCCUGAGGGGGAGGUGGCGAAGUAUCCAGAACCACGUGCCCCUAUGACGUGAUUAGAACUGGUAAAGCGAGAGCUACGCUGCACCUGAGUCUCGGCCAGGUAUUUGAAGCAGAGAGAGUGGAAGAGAGGAGAGGAGAAGAUAGAAACACAUCGAUGUGAGACAUAGAUUGGUUACCUCCCUUGCACCAGGUCCCAGGAUCGAACCUGCAACCCAGGAUGAAAUGUGGACAGCUGAACUCAAACUCGUCUAUGGAGUAUUUACAUAACUAGCUAACUUAGAAAACUACAAUCACAACAGACUUGCUC